UUGAUGUUUUCCUUGUCCCUCCCGGGCCAAGCUAGGAUAUCACUGCAAACUCCAGUGACUAUAUCUGCCAUUUCAAGCCAUACCUUAACAUUGUUGACAGAGAGUGUGACAACAAUAAAAUAAGUUAAUUUAUGGAGCUAGAUGACUUCGUAAAAAUUGCAGAUUUUGCAAGAAGAUUAAAAUUCGCUUUGUAUACCAGUGGCUGCUCCAGCUGUAAGAGUCAUUAUAUCUCCAUUGGUUUUUGCAUUAAUGGCAGAGUUGACCACUGCUAAGAUUUGGUCGUGUUCAGCUCCCAUAUCUUCAGCAAUCUCAAUGCAGUGA